CCGGUCAGGGCCAUUUUCUUAUUAAAAACACACACAUUUUUAUGGAUUUCAGAAUGAAUGGGCGAGGGAGAGAGAGAAUCAGGGAUCGGCUGCCUCCUGCGCGCCCCGGGGGACCCAGCCGCAGCCCCCGCUCGCAUCCCGGCCUCCGGGUUCCCGGGCGACGCUCUCAGCCCCGGCCUGGCAACAGCAUUUCCUUCCGGGAGCAUCUGCCUCUGCCGAGUUGCACUGGGCAGUGCGGGUCGCCGCGGGGCGAGAUGCUGGGGUGAAGGACCCACGAUGGCCUCCGGGGCAGUUCUCUCCCAACCACUUACUGCUCCCCCUCCGCGCGGGGUACAGGCGAGGGGGGCACCCGCGAGGAGUGGUCCCCGCCGGCCAACCCGCGGCCCCCUGGGAGCUUGGCGGGAGGAAUUCUCAAAGGGGUGCCGGCUGGGCUGGUCAAGGCGGCGGGACAGAGAGGGGGCAGGCGGAGGCUGCGAAGCUGCGCGGCGACUCGUCCCGUCCCGCGGGGAUCGAGAGCGCCGUCACCGGUGACCCUCACGGCCGUCUUCCCCGCCCCGCGGUGACCGCGCCCUGUCCUCUGCUCUGCGCAUGCGUAGCUGAGGCGUUGCCAGGGCGACCGCGGAGGCCGGGGCCCGGCUGCAGUGCGCAGUCUCGGAGCCUCUCGCGCUCCGCCCGCCCCGCCCACAGGGAGACGGUCGCGCGGCGAUGACGUCGCGGGGGCCUGGCCGGGCGUCGCAGACUCGGGAGAUGGAGGAAAAGGAGCUGUUACGGCAGCAGAUCCGCCUCCUGCAGGGUCUGAUUGACGACUACAAGAACCUCCAUGGCAACACCCCUACCCCAGGUCCCUCAGCCUCCGGCCGCUGGCAGCCGCCCGUCUACAACAGCAGCAGGGCUUUCGGGGCUCGCUACCCUCGUCCCGGCCGCAGGGGCUUCUCCACGAGCCACGGGCCUGCGUGGCGCAAGAAAUACUCCCUUGUGAAUCGACCCCCAGGACCCUUGGACCCACCUGGCAACUCCUUGGACCCACCCAGUGACUCCUUGGACCCACCCGGGGACUGUGCUGUGCACCCCACCCUCGGGGCUGGAGGCAGCCAGGACCCCACCCCCCAGCAGUAUGUCCUGGAGAGGCAGGUCCAGCUCAGUGCUGACCAGAGCAUGGUCAUCAAGAUCAAACCCCCGUCCCAGCCCAGCGUGGCUGGUGCUGCAGGGGCUCCCCGGGACCCUCCUUGGAGCGACCGCAGGCCUCGGGGAGGGGAGGGCGAGCCCCCUGGUGGGCAGCGCCCGCCCUCAAAGCCAGGAAGGGCCAAGGGGGCCUACAGCACAGAGGACUGCCAGCUGGUCUGCCAGAAGGAGGCCGGCAAGCCCCGGGUGGUGAAGUCUGUAAGCAGCUUGAGCGACAGCCCCUCAGAGUCCCGGCGGACGGUCAGCGAGAGCGCCAUCUCCGUCAAGGCCCGCCUCCUGCCUCCCCCCGGGCCCCAGCGCAGUGGCGUGGCCCUGACUGUGAAGGUGAGCUCGCACCCGGUGGCCGGCUGUGCUGCACAGCUCCUUGGGGACAGGAGAGCCGAUGCCGGCCACCCCGAUCAGCCCGCUCACGCUGGCUCCGUGGCAGGUCCAGCCCGACCAGCUUCUGGACCCAGGCAGGCCCCGGAGGCCUCCCUGCUUGUGUCCUGUCAAAACAACAAGUUCCGGAAAAACAACUACAAAUGGGUGGCUGCUUCGACGAAGAGCCCCCGGGCGCCUCGCAGGGCCCUCAGCCCCAGAGCAGCUGCGGAGAACGUGUGGACAGCGGAGCGAGCCGAGAAGCUGCAGCCCAGGGCCCAGCCAGAGACCAAACCCAAGAAGCCGGCCGGGUGCCCCGCGGGCGCUCCCCGCAGCAAGUACCAGUGGAAGGCCUCCAGCCCCUCGGCCUCCUGCUCCUCCUUCCGCUGGCAGUCGGAGGCUGGCAGCAAGGACCAUGCCUUCCAGCUCUCUCCAGUCCCUUCGAGGUCCCCCCCGGGGGACAAGCCAGCAGUGGGACCCAGUGGCUUGAAGCCCCUCUUCAGUGAGACCCCAGGGCUCUCGGCUUACAAAGUGAAGAGCCGCACCAAGAUCAUCAAGAGACGGGGGAGUGCCAACCUUCCUGGGGACAAGAAGAGCAGCCCCCCACCAACUGCCACCGCCAAGAGCCAGUUCAGCCUGCGCAGGAGGCAGGCCCUGCGGGGGAGGAGCGGCCCUGCCCAGAAGAAGGCCCCCCCCAAGGGCCUGAUGCAGGUCCCCCGGCACCGGCUGUGCUGCCUGCCUCCUGGCCGCACCCACCUCCCCAUCAAGGAAGCCUCCAACCUGAACGCCCUGCCGGCCCCUGCCACCAGCAAAGUGAUCAAGACCCGGUACCGCAUCGUCAAGAAGACCCCGGUGUCGCCUUUCAGCGCAUCCCCCUUCCCCCUGUCCCUGCCUUCCUGGCGGGCUCGGCGGCUCUCCCUGUCCAGGUCCCUGGUGCUGAAUCGCCUGCGCCCUGCCCGCGGCGGUGGGAGGGUCCAGCUCGGCUCCCCCCGCUGGCGGGACAGAGGCUACCGCUGUAUCGGAGGGGUGCUCUACCGGGUGACAGCCAACAAGCUCGCCAAGACUCCCGGCCGGCCCAGUGCUGAGGGGGCCUGCAGGCCCCUCCUGCGUACAGGCCGGCUGGACACUCCUGGCAGCUGCAGCCGCUCCCUGGCCAGCCGGGCCGUGCAGCGCAGCCUGGCCAUCGUGCGGCAGGCCAGGCAGAGGCGGCGCCGGGCAGAGCAGGAGUACUGCAUGUACUACAACCGCUUCGGCAGGUGCAACCGCGGCGAGCGCUGCCCCUACAUCCACGACCCUGAGAAGGUGGCCGUGUGCACCAGGUUUCUCCGGGGCACGUGCAAGAAGACGGACGGGACCUGCCCCUUCUCCCACCAGGUCUCCAAGGAGAAGAUGCCUGUGUGCUCCUACUUCCUGAAGGGGAUCUGCAGCAACAGCGACUGCCCCUACAGCCACGUCUACGUGUCUCGGAAGGCGGAGGUCUGCACCGACUUCCUCAAAGGCUACUGCCCGCUGGGCGCCAAGUGCAAGAAGAAGCACACCCUGCUGUGCCCCGACUUCUCCCGCCGGGGCUCCUGCCCCCGGGGCGCCCAGUGCCAGCUGCUGCACCGCAACCAGAAGCGCCCCGGCCGCCAGGCAUCCGCACCCCCCGCCCCGGAGCCCAGCCACGCACCUCCCAGGAGCAGGGCCUCCACUGGCCAUGGGCCCAGGAAGCCCUCGGCCGCCCCGCGCCCUGUGAGGCAGACGCCCAGCUCCCCCGCCUCGGAGGCUGCUGGCCUGGCCUCCCCUCUCUGCUCCGCACAGGGGUCAGCUGCAGCCUGUGCCCUGCCCUCGAAGGCUCCCUUCUCCCCCUCCCCCUCCCCCUCCUCCCGCUCCUCCCACUCCCCCUCCUCAGACCAGGAGGAGCCGAAGCCGGUGCUCCAGGAGGAGGCUGCCUCUGCGGGGAAGGGCUCCGGAGGCCUCUCCAAGCUGCCUUCCUUCAUCUCCCUGCAGUCCUCGCCCAGCCCAGGCAUCCAGCCCAGGGCCCCGACCACCAGGAGCGCCCCCGCCAAGGACUCAGCUCUCCGCGCGUUUGAGUGACGAUAAACCCCACGCAGCUCGGCGGGCUGCAAAUUUGCGACCAUACGGCCAUCAUUUUAUUGUCAUAUUUCACGGUCGUAACGUUAAUGGAAGAUGCUUGCCGCAGCCUCCUCUAGCAGCUCCGCUGAGCACGCUCAAACGCGGACGCGGAGGGGCCCGGCCCGCCCGCCUCCUCUCACCCCCCACUCGGGCGAGGAGCGGCCGGCCCGCCAUCGGGUGUGGCUCACUGGGGUGCAGACGGGCCGCUGGGAGCUCUGCCGCCACUUCUAUUCUGUAAGAUCCCGAACCCGGCAGCCAACCCAGAGUCAGAGGAGGCAGGGAAAACUCUGCACAUCAAGCCCCGGCUUUGAGGGGCCAGCCCACGCCUACCUCAGCCCUCAGCGCUGGACAGAAAGGAGGCCACCCCGCCACCACCGCCCCAGGAGGGCCACCUGCCACAACGCCCUGGGGGCCGCAGGGCCAUCGCUCCGCCCCCUGGCUCCCAGCCUCCCUGACCAGCGCGAGCCCAGGCCUCCCCCUCCCUCGGGCUGGGCCCUGCCUGGCCGGCCCCUCUGCACCCCGCACCUCCCACCCUUGGGUCCUCAGUCUCCCACCCAGCACAGGCCCCCAGCUCCCCGCCCUCUGUGGGUGGGGCAGUGGUGGUCACUGCACCCCCAGCCUCACCCAGGACUCCCGCCUGGGCACGGGGCCACCAGCCAGGCUCCCUGGCGGGCAUUUCUGUUCAGCAAUAAAGGUUGUCCCAUGUC